UACGUAGGGGGCGAGCGUUGUCCGGAUUUACUGGGCGUAAAGGGUGAGUAGGCGGUUGUAUAAGUCAGAUGUAAAAGGCACAGGCUUAACUUGUGUAAGCAUUUGAAACUGUACAACUUGAGUGCAGGAGAGGUAAGUGGAAUUCCUAGUGUAGCGGUGAAAUGCGUAGAUAUUAGGAGGAACACCAGUGGCGAAGGCGACUUACUGGACUGUAACUGACGCUGAGUCACGAAAGCGUGGGUAGCAAACAGG
rnacentral:rRNA from 1 species